GGGUCCAUAGCUCAGUGGUAGAGCAUUUGAGCUGCAUGUUUGAUUGCAAAUCUUAAGGUCAUCGGUUCGAACCCGGUUGGGCCCU
rfam:Prunus persica cultivar Lovell chromosome G2, whole genome shotgun sequence.